CCGUUGUGAUAGAAAUCCAUGGGAAGCAAACAUUAUGUGAGCAAGCAUGUUUGUUACCCAUACAAGAGCCACAAAGUAUUUGUGAUUGCGAGAACCAAAACAUGUCUGUUAGCGCUGGUCGAUAAGUGCAGCUCAUCAACAUAAAUGGUCGCUAUGACCUCCCUUUGCCCAUGUGGUGCUUCAACACUUGCCACAAAUCAUGGACACCUGAGCCGCUGGACCUUGCCCGAAGUGGUUACUUGCCAGGCUCUGUAACAUUUCAAACAAUAUGUCAGGUUGACCUGUUCACUUCUUUUGAGCUGUUUAAAGUCGCUGCACCAGGCCUAUCACGACAAUCAUUUAUAAAGAUGUUAGAGCAAAAGUCACAGAACUUUGGACGGGUAAAAAUGCUUCAAAUAACUCAAAUGUUAAGUAAAAAACAGCUCUUUAGCUCCACUGAUGUUUUUUUUUUUCCUCCCAACUUUUUGAAUGACACUAUAUGCGGCAGAACAUUCCAGAAGGCAUUUUUGGAGUGGACAUAUUGUCAUCAUGAGAAAGAAAAGCUCAGUGCAAUUGAUCACUUCUCGUGUCCUGCAUGUAUCCCAAAUGCUGUCUGCAGAUGGAAACCGCAAACUAUAUCGGUUUAACAAAGCCAGAGAGGAAGAGCAUACUACUCACAGUAGUAAUUGCAAAUGGAUUAUGCAUAUUAGUUUAUGCUGACUAUAUAUUUUUCCUCUGUUAUUAAUAGAGUGGAAGAACAGCCUUUUUUCAAUGGUGUUUUCAUUGCCAAGGAUGAGAAUGUGACCAAUUUUGUCAAUUUCGUUCAACAAAAGACCAGCUCAGU